GUCGCCGAGGCUCGGGCCAGCCCGGCGGAUCGUGGAGAGGAGGAGCUGGCAGGGCUGAGUUGGCAGCGGGGCAAAGAGGGCUCACUUACUGGCGGCCGCGAGGGCGCGGGUGGGCCGGAGCUCAAUGGGACGACCCCAGGGCAGCGGCGGCUGAGCGGGAGCCGGAGCCGGAGCGGCGCGGGCGGCGGCGCAUCGAUGCGCUGCGGGCUCGAUUGCGUCUCCCUGGGCCAGCUCUUGGGCCGGGAAUGGGGCGGCAGCGGCGGGGCUGGCUCCGGGCGCUGCCGGGCGGCGGUGGCGGGAGUGCGGGGGCGGCCGCCAGACCCACGGACCCUUAGGCGGUGCUGCUUCUGGGCGCGCUGCUGGGGCCCUGGGAGUACCCUGUGAGCCGCGUGCGAGAGUCCGGGCGAGGGCCGAAGCCCCGCGCCCUGGGACUGACUGCCUGAGCGCUCUGGGAGCUGCAAACCCCGGCCUUCUCCCGUCUUUCCCUACCACCCCCCCCCCCCUUAUGUUUCUUUUUUAGUCUCUUUCCUCUCUUCUUCUGCCCCCUCUUCUCUUUAUUUUUUCCUUGUGAUUGUUUUUUGCAAGUUUGUUUUAAAAGUUCACAGGCAUACUUUCUUUUCUUUUAGACCAGGAGACCUCGAUCUCACCCUGACGGUAAGAUCAAAAGUCUCCGCUCGCCCCCAGCCUGCGGGCUUGGGCUCGGUCCAGACGCCUCCCUGAAUGCAGAUGUGCUGCCGCCGUCCUCCGGGGCUAUAAAGCCGCCUCCUGCGCCUUGGCGUGCGCAGGAGCGCACGGAGUUGCGGGAUGCGGACCCUGGGCGGUUGCGGGGAGUUGGAGUCUAGCUGCAGCUGGGCCCCGGGCUGGCCUCGUGCGUGGGGCGGGCGCGUGGCGCGGAGUUGGUGCCUGCGGCCGCAGAGGCCAGAGCAACUGCCCCUCCAGGCCCGGGAGACGCGGCCGUGGGGCGUGAAACGCUUCUUGCGAAGGAGAAAACGGGUGAUUUCCCAAGCUUUGUGUAGGGAUAAGAAAGGAAUAGCCCAGGAAGCAGACAUAAAGAGACAGAAGGAAGCAGAAUACCAAGGCUUCUACUUGUUCCUGUGUGCUGGAUACAGAACUUAGGCCUUGGCUGAAAGUGACGUGAAAGUGUUAAUUGAUCAGCUGUGUCUGACUCCCCGCGAUCCCAUGACUGUAGCCUGCCAGGCUCUUCUGUCCGUGGAAUUCUUCAGGCAAGAAUACUGGACUGGGUUGCCAUUUCUUUCUUCAGGAAAUCUUCCCAACCCACGGAUUGAACCUGGGUCUCCCACAUUGCAGGCAGAUUUUUACUGUCUGAGCCACCUGUUUCGAAUUUGAGAGGGUCUCAAAUGCCAAGGGGGGCUAUGCAAUCUUUUCAGGAGGAUCUAAAUUUAAUGUUUACAAAACCAUGAGCACUCAGAUGUGCUAAAGACACGUUUCAGCCCAUUUGUGGAAAACAGAAUAAACUUCUAAAUCUCCUUCUGCA
rnacentral:lncRNA from 1 species